rnacentral:rRNA from 1 species
UACGUAGGGGGCAAGCGUUGUCCGGAUUUAUUGGGCGUAAAGGGCGCGUAGGCGGCUUGGUAGGUCCGUUGUGAAAACUCGAGGCUCAACCUCGAGAUGUCGGCGGAAACCACUUGGCUAGAGUCCGGAAGAGGAGAGUGGAAUUCCCGGUGUAGCGGUGAAAUGCGCAGAUAUCGGGAAGAACACCUAUGGCGAAGGCAGCUCUCUGGGACGGUACUGACGCUGAGACGCGAAAGCGUGGGGAGCGAACAGG